CUCUUGGGCUCAAGUGAUCCUCCCACCUCGGCCUCCCCAAAGCGUUGGGUUUACAGUUGUGAGCUACCAUGCCUGCCUAAACUUUGUCUUCUUAAGCAAGAUGAUGCCUGAACAUCUGACUCCACUUCUGUGACUUCUUUUCAACUAGCUACAGGAGAUGGGAGUAUAGGCAGCAAGCUGACAACGUCCAAGAAAGAGCAUUCAUACUAUUAUCUCUCAGAAGCUAUACCCAUCCCUGAGGCAGAAUGCACAGAAUGCCUUGCCUUGAAGCUGCAACUGGGAAAGCAUGGAAAGAAUGGUUCGGUCAACUUCUUUUGUUUCUGUUGGUUCCUCUGAAUACAAGGGGCGUAUUUUUCUUUAAGUGCUUACUGUUUAAUGUUGCAUGCUCAAUACAGUGAGCCCACAAGGGUGAAUGAGAGAGGAAUGGGAUAAAUCGUUUCCUCAACAGCCCUAGUUCUCCAAGCUAAUUCAGAAAAGUCAUCGGAUAGAACCAUGACACUGUAAAUAAUUACUAAUUAAAAUAAAGUACAACACAAUUUCUGCCUAAUCUCCCAUAUUGCUUGUACCCAAACGGAAACGCUCACCAUAAUUAAAGUUGCCCAAAUUGCUGCUAUAUUUCCCACUGGGAGGGUUAUAAAUCUGCCUGGCAUCUCUUUUUGGUCCUGCUGAAGAUUUCUUGGGUGGUGAACCUGAAGUUGUAUCUUCACUGGCUCUCUUUUGCCUGUAACAAUAGGAAGAACAGAAAUUAAAAAACAUUCUAUUAUGCCAAAAUCUAUCAAUACAUUUAUAAUUUAGCAUAUCAGUUAUGAAAGACAUCCUAAAGAGGAUAAUCUCAUCAGAAAAAAGGAAUUAACAUUUGAUGUCAUCAAAUUAACCAUAGUUUGGUUAUGCAGACAAUGUCAGAAGGCAUUUACAAGGCUUUAAAAUAAUCUGAAAUAUGUAGCUUCAUAGACUUACAUGCAAGUGACUCACUUUACAAAACGUGUCAGAAAAAAAUCGUUUUGUUACAGGAAUACAAGUAAGGCCGAAAGUUCCAGGGUUGCCUUCCACCAGUUUAUUUUACAAAUAUUGAAAGCAGCUUUUUAUAUGAAUCAUUUAACACUGCACCCUUUUGAACAGUAAAUGUAACUACUGAAUUAAGUUUUGAUAAUACUCAAAUCUCUUUUAAAUAUAUUUCUUACCCAAUCUCAACCUUUUGUACAGGUUUCCAGGAUAGUGUUACUGUGCUCUUAUAAGAAGGAGGAAUGUGGAAGAGAUCCUGGAGAGACAAAAAUCAGACAAGAAUUCUAAUGUAUUUGUUGGUGGCAGGGAGUGGUGGUGAGGGUUGGAAACCAAGACAGAUCUUAAAGAUUAAAUUUAGGAGACAGAGCUUACUGCAACAGAAAAUUAAACAGAAACAAUUUUGUUUACAAAUCACGUCUAUUACCUCAUUAACAUAACUUUGUGCACAUAACAAACUGUAGUGUAGCUAAUUUUUUUCUAAAUGUCAGUAUACAUUUCAGGAUAAAAUAUAUCAAUAUUUAUCCAGUUUAAUAAACAAAGUCAGCAAAUAAAUUUUGUUUUGGUUUGUUUUUGCACAGAUGCAGUCACCAUGGUGCUUUAAGGAAAAUACAAUGGUGCAAUCUGCAUGUGCUUUUGCAAAUUUUUAAGUCGUUCAAAAUUAGAAAAAAAUCUAAAGCUUUACUGCCAGCACCAUAGGUAAAGUAAAAACAAACAAAAAACCACUAAAGCUCUGGCUAAUCAUGUUUCCCCCUGCCCUAGGAAAUAUCUGUGAAUUAUUAAUAAGGCAAAAAAAACCCUGUAAGAUUUAAAUACCGAAUGAUCAAUGUGCUAGGAAUGCAAAUGUUUGCUGAAUGUGUUAAAAUAACCUGGAAUUCAAAUAAUCUAACCUCAUAAUAUCCUCACAACUGAAUAAACCGCUAAACACAUUUAUUCUUAGUAAUACUUCUUACCAGCUUUACCUUGAUUUUUGUACAUAGGUAAAAUUAAAUAAAAGUAAACUUUUCUCCCAGUUAAAAUGAGUAUACUAAUAAAAAAACAUCCCUGGUAUAUAAACUUAAGUCCAGUGUACUAUAUAAAUGUAGGGAAUGGGCCAAUGCAACAUGCUUUGAAUAAAAAAUGCUUGAGAUUUCUAACUGGAGUGAUUUUGCAUAUUAUAAUAUUAACUGAAAAAGGGACCACAUGAAGAGGAAAGGGCAAAUCUUCACUUAUAAACAUGUUAAAUCUCAGAUGACGACAGGAAAAUGGUGUAUAGUUUAGGGAUUCAUUAAAAUAAAAAUGAAGUUAUGAAAUUAGAUGAGUCUGCCUGGUAGGUAAAGAUUACAAAAAAUGUCAAGGAUGGAUUAAAACAUACCUAUGUUCUCCCUAAAACAAAAAAUUUAUGAUGUCACAUACUUCUACCCUACUUAAAAACAUUUCAAGAUUUUCAGGUAAGGCACCUGUGAUAUUAUGUGAUAUAUACAGUUUGCCCACUGUGUCCAUGGUUCCUGCAUCUGUGGAUUCAAGCAACUGUGGAUGGAAAAUACUCAUUAAAAAAUUGCAUAAAAUUAUAAAAAAGCAAAACUUGAAUUUACUAUGCUGAAUCUUUGAGAAUGAAGUGAUGUGUAGGUACUGUAUUAGGUAUGUAAAAAUAAAAUUUAAGGUUCUCCCAAAUGUAUUACACCAAGGGGAGAAGUUAACUCUUGGAAACUGACUCAUAACAUGGCUGUUUUCUUCUCUGAUGCAUGACCGUUGCCUUCCUGACCUCUGUGUUGAGAUUGCAUGAACCAGAGUCUACUCUUUACUUAAACCUAGACUAAAUGAGGGAGAUAGAGACCACUGUGACUAUUACCUCUUUACAAUAAAAUGUUAAUCCCUUUAGAGUGUAAUCAAUAGUAGCCAAUCAUAUAUCUAUCUGUUAGCCUUUGUAUGGAAAAUGUCAUUCUUUUUAGCACCUCAGUUUAUGCCUGUAUCAGUUUUUGCCCAUAUAAACAAUCCUCAUUUUUCUCCAUGCCAGGAGCACUGACCAGCAUUCUUUGAUGUAAUUCUGCUCGCAGAUGGCCAAUCUCAUACUUCGUACCUGAAUAAACUCUUUUGAUUGGA